AGUGAACGCUGGCGGUAGGCCUAACACAUGCAAGUCGAACGGCAGCACAGUAAGAGCUUGCUCUUACGGGUGGCGAGUGGCGGACGGGUGAGGAAUACAUCGGAAUCUACUUUUUCGUGGGGGAUAACGUAGGGAAACUUACGCUAAUACCGCAUACGAUCUACGGGUGAAAGCAGGGGAUCUUCGGACCUUGCGCGAUUGAAUGAGCCGAUGUCGGAUUAGCUAGUUGGCGGGGUAAAGGCCCACCAAGGCGACGAUCCGUAGCUGGUCUGAGAGGAUGAUCAGCCACACUGGAACUGAGACACGGUCCAGACUCCUACGGGAGGCAGCAGUGGGGAAUAUUGGACAAUGGGCGCAAGCCUGAUCCAGCCAUACCGCGUGGGUGAAGAAGGCCUUCGGGUUGUAAAGCCCUUUUGUUGGGAAGAAAAGCAGCAGGUUAAUACCCCGCUGUUCUGACGGUACCCAAAGAAUAAGCACCGGCUAAUUUCGUG
rnacentral:rRNA from 1 species